UCUCUCUCUCUAAUCUUUUUCACCUCCUUUUCCACUUCUUUCUCUGCACUUUCUUGAAGAAACCCUACCUCAAAACCCUCUCCUCCCUCGUUCUUCAAACUCCGGCGACUGGAUUGGCUGCCAGUCGGCCUGUAUCUCCGAUCGGUUACCCACAACAUCCCCAAAUCCUCCUUCUUGUUGUACCGUUUCAACCACAACCAACUGAUCUAGAGGAUAAUUGACAAAGAGAGUGAGAUCGGGAGAAAGGAGAGAGCCGCCGCACGCGGCGGCGGCGUCGGCGAUGUGGUUUCACAGCUGUGACGGAGAGAAGCAGGAGAGCUGCUGAAGAUGUGGUUUCACAGAUGUGGUUUCGGAUUGAUUUCGGAAUUGUAG
rnacentral:lncRNA from 1 species